AGUGAGGAGGGAGGAGGGAGUGCUGCAAAAAUCCAAUUUGGGACCCUUCAGCUCCUGGAGGAGGGCAGGGAAGGAGGCAGGGGAGCAGAGGGGGCUGCCAGCCAUGGCUGAGAGCCUUUCCCUGCUUCCUGCAGCCCCUGCAGCACAUCCUUUGCUGGAAUCUCUGGGAUUCCAGGCCCCUCUCCAGAUCCCAGCAAGACUUUGGACACUUUUCUACUUCUGACAGUAACUUCUGAGGGAAAUAAAUUGCUUUUGGAACAACCCAGCUGUGUGCACCUCUCGAGCAUCUGCUCCCUCCUGGAGUCCUAGCAGGGAUUUAAAUCCCCUUCCAUCCCUUCUUGGAAUGCUUAACUGGGAUUUUAAAAGGCUUUUGGAGAAAUUAGAUCCUGAGGACUCUUUUGCCAAGGUCGGGAUUCAAUCAGGAUGGUUUUUCUUGUUGGAACUCAGAUGUUUAUCAGUUCUUAUCUAAAUUACAGCCUCACAAACCCUGAGCUCUGCAGCACUUGUCUCUAACAAGGUAAGAACGGAGCCCUGUCUCUCUCUCUCUCUCCAAGGCCUUUUAAGGAUAAAAUGUCCAGUUAAGAAAUGACACCAAAAUUAUUUUUACUUUUAACCCAAUAACCAACCACCCAUGGCUGCAAUGGGGACUUUUUAUCCAAUGACACAAAACCACCCAAAGCCAGGGAGGAGAGGGGGAAGGAGGAGAAGGAGAAGGAGAAGGAGAAGGAGAAGGAGAAGGAGAAGGAGAAGGAGAAGGAGAAGGAGAAGGAGAAGGAGAAGGAGAAGGAGAAGGAGAAGGAGAAGCGGGUGAAGGAGGAGAAGGAGGAGAAGGAGGAGAAGGUAAAGAAGAAGGAAAAGCCUCCACCCCAAAAUCUCCACCUUGCUUUAUAUCCAUUACUGUAUUCUAAACCCUCAAACUCUGAGUUUCCCACCCUGUGAUGUCCCACACUUCUACCCAAACUCCACACCCACAAUCCCAGUUCCAACAUUCCAUUUUGGAAGCUUCUCCACAUUCUCAGGUCAAUGCAGAGCUCUCCUGGGGUCAGUGCCUGUCAGCACAGAGAGUCUCAAAUUCUCAGGGUUCCAACAAGAUCCCAUUUUGGUGUCUGAUACAUCUCAAAUGUUUCGAAAUUUCUGAAUUGAUGGAGGAGGUUUGAGCCUGGUCUGUGGUGGAUCCACAGAUCCCAUGUGGAUAAAGGGAUCUGUCCAAUAAAAUCAAGAUGUUCUCCUCUUCA